UACGUAGGGGGCAAGCGUUGUCCGGAUUUAUUGGGCGUAAAGAGCGUGUAGGCGGCUGGGUAGGUCCGUUGUGAAAACUCGAGGCUCAACCUCGAGACGCCGAUGGAAACCCUCCAGCUAGAGUCCGGAAGAGGAGAGUGGAAUUCCUGGUGUAGCGGUGAAAUGCGCAGAUAUCAGGAAGAACACCCGUGGCUAAGGCGGCUCUCUAGUACGGUACUGACGCUGAGACGCGAAAGCGUGGGGAGCGAACGGG
rnacentral:rRNA from 1 species